rnacentral:rRNA from 1 species
AUGGGGUGACUGCGUACCUUUUGUAUAAUGGGUCAGCGACUUAUAUUCUGUAGCAAGGUUAACCGUAUAGGGGAGCCGUAGGGAAACCGAGUCUUAACUGGGCGAAUGAGUUGCAGGGUAUAGACCCGAAACCCGGUGAUCUAUCCAUGGGCAGGUUGAAGGUUGGGUAACACUAACUGGAGGACCGAACCGACUAAUGUUGAAAAAUUAGCGGAUGACUUGUGGAUGGGGGUGAAAGGCCAAUCAAACCGGGAGAUAGCUGGUUCUCCCCGAAAGCUAUUUAGGUAGCGCCUCGUGAACUCAUCUUCGGGGGUAGAGCACUGUUUCGACUAGGGGGUCAUCCCGACUUACCAACUCGAUGCAAACUGCGAAUACCGAAGAAUGUUAUCACGGGAGACACACGGCGGGUGCUAACGUCCGUCGUGAAGAGGGAAACAACCCAGACCGCCAGCUAAGGUCCCAAAGUCAUGGUUAAGUGGGAAACGAAGUGGGAAGGCUCAGACAGCCAGGAUGUUGGCUUAGAAGCAGCCAUCAUUUAAAGAAAGCGUAAUAGCUCACUGGUCGAGUCGGCCCGCGCGGAAGAUGUAACGGGGCUAAACCAUGCACCGAAGCUGCGGCAGCGACACGUAGUGUUGUUGGGUAGGGGAGCGUUCUGUAAGCCUGCGAAGGUGUACUGUGAGGUAUGCUGGAGGUAUCAGAAGUGCGAAUGCUGACAUAAGUAACGAUAAUGCGGGUGAAAAACCCGCACGCCGGAAGACCAAGGGUUCCUGUCCAACGUUAAUCGGGGCAGGGUGAGUCGACCCCUAAGGCGAGGCUGAAAAGCGUAGUCGAUGGGAAACGGGUUAAUAUUCCCGUACUGGUGGUAACUGCGAUGGGGGAACGGAGAAGGCUAGGUUGUCCGGGCGACGGUCGUCCCGGUUCAAGCAGGUAGGCAGAGUGAUUAGGCAAAUCCGGUCACUUAAUGCUGAGAUGUGAUGACGAACCACCAAGGUGGUGAAGCAAUUGAUGCCCCGCUUCCAGGAAAAGCCUCUAAGCUUCAGGUUACCAACAAUCGUACCCCAAACCGACACAGGUGGUCAGGUAGAGAAUACUCAGGCGCUUGAGAGAACUCGGGUGAAGGAACUAGGCAAAAUGGUGCCGUAACUUCGGGAGAAGGCACGCUGGCGGUAGGUAAAGUCCCUCGCGGACGGCGCUGAAGCCAGUCGAAGAUACCAGCUGGCUGCAACUGUUUAUUAAAAACACAGCACUGUGCAAACACGAAAGUGGACGUAUACGGUGUGACGCCUGCCCGGUGCUGGAAGGUUAAUUGAUGGGGUCAGCGUAAGCGAAGCUCCUGAUCGAAGCCCCAGUAAACGGCGGCCGUAACUAUAACGGUCCUAAGGUAGCGAAAUUCCUUGUCGGGUAAGUUCCGACCUGCACGAAUGGCGUAAUGAUGGCCAGGCUGUCUCCAC